rnacentral:rRNA from 1 species
CCUACGGGGUGCAGCAGUGGGGUAUUUUGGACAAUGGGCGAAAGCCUGAUCCAGCCAUGCCGCGUGUGUGAAGAAGGCCUUCGGGUUGUAAAGCACUUUCAGUGGGGAAGAAAGCCUUGGGGCUAAUACCCUCGAGGAAGGACAUCACCCACAGAAGAAGCACCGGCUAACUCCGUGCCAGCAGCCGCGGUAAUACGGAGGGUGCGAGCGUUAAUCGGAAUUACUGGGCGUAAAGCGCGCGUAGGCGGUCUGAUAAGCCGGUUGUGAAAGCCCCGGGCUCAACCUGGGAACGGCAUCCGGAACUGUCAGGCUAGAGUGCAGGAGAGGAAGGUAGAAUUCCCGGUGUAGCGGUGAAAUGCGUAGAGAUCGGGAGGAAUACCAGUGGCGAAGGCGGCCUUCUGGACUGACACUGACGCUGAGGUGCGAAAGCGUGGGUAGCAAACAGGAUUAGAUACCCCAGUAGUC